rnacentral:lncRNA from 1 species
CUUUAUGUACCAGCAAAGCCAGCUCGACCGUAUACAGUAUAAGGGAUUCGCCUUUGCCUCAUACAGAAGAACUACGGAUUGAACAGGACAGGACAACCGGGAAGGGAAGCCUGACAUAGAUAUUGAUUUGAACAAAGGAACUCAAACCGGUACCAGAAACCAAACAAGAGAUGGAAUUCCAGAUUGAACAGAUGACCGACCCACAAUAAGACGAAAAUGGAAUUCAAAAUUCCAUUCUCUAAGACGAACUAA